GGGCUGUCCGCAUGCGCGGUGACGCACGCCGACGUCACUUCGCCGGGCGCUUCCCCCUCAUUCCCCAGCUCUCGCCCCUCCUCGGUGGCGGGAAUUUUGUCGUGGGCGCUGGUCCGAGGGAGGCGCAAACCCUCCAGGCCAUGGCUGUCGCGUUGCCUGGCGUCGUGGAGGAGCUCCUGAGCGAGAUGGCCGCGGCCGUGCGGGAGAGCGCGCGAAUUCCUGAUGAACAUCUUUUAUCGCUGAAGUUUAUCUUUGGUGCAUCAGCAGUGCAGGCUUUGGACCUGGUGGAUCGACAUUCCGUCACCUUAAUCUCGUCACCCAGUGGAAGGCGUGCUUACCAGUUCCAGACGUUUCCAGGACGGUUGGGCUCACUGGUUGUCCGCUGCUGGACAAGGAAGAAGCGAGCUCUCUGUGGUGAAGCGAGCUCUCUGUGGUGUGUGCCACCUCGGCGACUGAACAGGCCACCCAGUCUCCAAGGCGCAGCUUAGGAAGCGUCAGGCCAGGGAACCUCUCUGUAGGAUCACUGCCCCUUCCUAAGUCACCAAGGAGCGUCCUGCCGGACCGGGAGCCCCACAGAAGGAACCAGUGAGAGCUCCAAGUCAGCAUGGGGCCCAGAGGUUGUGCCGGCCUCGGGGUAAAUGCAGGCGGCUUUGGAAAUUGGCACUGGAAUACCAAAGGUUGAGAAAGCGCACAGUGAAAUGGAGAUGUUGGAAGCGUCCAGUCAGCCCACUGGGCGCUGUCACUGUGCAAGGAACAAGCUGGCUCGGGAGACUGUUCCAUCGCGCUGGAUGAGGCCCUGGAGGGCAGAGCGCUGAGAGAAGAGGGGAGAGGACUUUCCCUUUCUUCCCACGGCUGAGUCACGACGUCGAUCAUGAAGGGGAAGAAGUGGCCCCGUCCAGGCCCUGAUGACCUCUGCCUUCUCCUUCUAGGUACUGGGAAGCUCUGGGAAAACAUACACCUGUUUGGCCUCUUGUCAUUACUGCUCAUGCCCUGCAUUUGCCUUCUCGGUUCUACGGAAGAGUGACAGCCUACUGGUGAGGAGGGGGAGGGCUCUUACCAUCUGCAGGCCAAUCAGGAGACAGUCUGAUAGCCCUUGUGUCAUGGUCUAAAAGUUGUACAAAAUGGGAAUUUCAGUGCAUGUUGCAACACAUAGUUUUUAUUACCCUUAACUUCAGUUAAUCAUCUCAGGAUGUAACCGCCGAAAAUGUAAUGUCAUCUUUAGAACCACAUCAGGUUCCUGUUUGUUUCAUGUAAGAGGUCACGGAUUAAACGCAGGGGAGAACAAGGUAAUCACAGAGGCUGGCCUCUGUGAUGUGCAACAGAAAUAGGAACUUGAUGAUGGCCACGGUGCCUGUCCCCAACUCCAGCCAUGAGGUGCGUCCUCUACCAUGCCUGAGACAGCCUUCCACACAGGGUAAGAGUGCCUUCGCCUGUCCCAUAAGCCUUUGCAAAUUUUGUCAAAGCUCUGAGCAUGGCGUAGGGCCAGGACAUACUGCUUAUUCCAAGAAGAAAGGCACUGAGGCUGGUGCUCUGGCGUAGCAGGUAAAGGUGCUGCCUGCAACAUCAGCAUCCUAUCGGCACUGGUUCAAGUCCCGGCUGCACCUCUUCCACUCCAGCUUUCUGCUUAUGGCCUGGGAAGGCAGUGGAGGGUGGCCUAGGUGCUUGGAUCCCUACGCCCACAUGGAAGAAGCUCCUGCCUUUGAGUUGGCCCAACUCCAGGCUUCAUGGCCAUUUGGGGAGUGAACCAGCAGAUGGAAGACCUCUCUCUAACUCUGCCUUUCAAAUAAGUAGAUAAAUCUUUAAAAAAAGGCACUAUCUUUUUAAGAUUUAUUUUAUUUAUUUGAAAGACAGAGUUAAGAGAGAGGCAGAGAGAGAGAAAGAGAGGUCUUCCAUCUGCUGGUUCACUCCCAGAUGGCCACAACAGCCAGAGCUGUGCCAAUCCAAAGCCAGGAGCUACUUCCAGGUCUCCCAUUUGGGUGCAGGGUCCCAAGGACUUGGGCCAUCUUCUACUGCCUUCCCAGGCCAUACAGAAAGCCGAAUCAGAAGUGGAGCAGCUGGGACUAUAACUGGUGCCAAUAUGGGAUGCCGGUGCUUCGGGCCAGGGCACUGUCCUUCUAAGAGCUGGUAGCUACUUUUUUGAUAAAAGAUUUUAUUUAUGGGGGCCAGCUCUGUGGUGUAGUAGGUAAAGCUGCCACUUGCAGUGCUGGCAUCCCAUAUGGCUGCUGGUUCAAGUCCUGGCUGCUGCACUUCCAAUCCAGCUCCCUGCUAAUGUGCCUGGGAAAGCAGUAGAAGAUGGCCCAAGUGCUUGGGCCCCUGCACCCGUGUUGGACACCUGGAUGAAGCUCUGGUUCCUCGCUUUGGCCUGGCCCAUCUCUGGCCAUUUCAGCAUCUGGGGAGUGAACAGCUGAUGGAAGAUGCUCUCUACCUCUGCCUCUCCUUCUCUGUAAUUCUUUCACAUAAAUCUUAAAAAAAAAAAAAAAGUUUAUUUGAAU